rnacentral:rRNA from 1 species
AACGAACGCUGGCGGCAUGCCUAACACAUGCAAGUCGAACGAACUCUUCGGAGUUAGUGGCGCACGGGUGCGUAACGCGUGGGAAUCUGCCCUUGGGUACGGAAUAACUCAGAGAAAUUUGUGCUAAUACCGUAUAAUGUCUUCGGACCAAAGAUUUAUCGCCUAAGGAUGAGCCCGCGUAAGAUUAGCUUGUUGGUGAG